rnacentral:miRNA from 1 species
AAAAACCUGAAUGAACCUUUUGA